rnacentral:lncRNA from 1 species
AAUCCAUCAGUCACUGGCUGUGGGCCACACUCAGGCUCCCAUCCCAAAUUAUGGAAGUACUGGGCAUCUUUGAAGACCAGCUCAAAUGCCACCAGCUCCAAAAAGCAUUGUUGGAUUCACCCAGCUCAGAGGAUUGCUGUCUCCUCUGUGCCCUCUGAGCACUUAGUCUUCACUCUAACAUAUACUCCACCUUGAGUUAUGGUCAUUGGAGUGUAUGUCUGGUCCCCUGUGAGAUUAAGCUGCUGGAGGACAACAGCUCUUCCUCGUCCAUCUUUGCAUAACUCUGCACCCAGAAAAGAAUCAAUGCUCAAUGUUUGAUGCAUUAAGUUGAAGAGAAUCUAAUUGGAAAGCCGGGGGUCUAUUUUUGUCAUUCUGAAAAGCUCCUCAGUUCCAGCUACUAUUAUUUAGUGAAAAUGGGGAGAUUUCUGUGCAUUUGUAGACACGAAUUGGAAGACCAUCAGAGAAGUGAUUCAGAAGAGGCUUGCCUUACAUCCUGUCUCCUUUUGUGCAACUUAGUACUUAGGAGGAACAGUGAGUGCUCAUCUGUGCUUCAGUCCCAUCAUUGUCACAGCUUCUCAUUUUCAGUAUAGCCUCACAAACUCAUGCCUAUGUUGGUCAUGAGUGGCUUUGGUAGGAUGGGGAAUUUUUAU